AUUGCGAUGAUGAAAAUUUCUAUUGUUUAAUACUAGAUUUCCACAUAUGCUCGAGGUAUUGCGAAAAGUUGAAUGCUCCUCAAGAAGAAGAAGAAGAAGAAGAAAAAACAGACGUGGCGUGAAAACUUACAGAGGAAAAUAUUAUUCUAGAAGUACAGUAAAACCUGCUAAUGUGACCAUCGAAGGGACCUUCUCCUCAAGUGGUCACCUUACACAGGAAAAUAUCAAAAUGUAUUUCUUAGAAGAUAAUGCCGACGACGGAUUUAUACGUUUCCAAGCUUUUUACAUCCAUAAAAAUAAAGAAAAAACUCGGCUAUUGCUCCUUCGGUCAUAAAAAAAGUGUAGAGAUAUAGAAGUUACAGCGGAACAGAUUGUGUAAUAUAGCACUAAACUAGACAGAACCUCACAGACAAGUUAAUUUAAAACGUGUCAACGACUCGAGUUUCCAACACCGAAAACAGGGGAAAAAAUGUAUAUACUGUAUAUAUUAAGAAGACUUUUUACCUAAGUCUCUGUCAAACGGUAAUAAAAUACUAUUUGUUAUUAAUAAAAUGCAAAAGUCACAUUUU